GUGGGGAAUAUUGCACAAUGGGCGCAAGCCUGAUGCAGCGACGCCGCGUGGGGGAUGAAGGCCUUCGGGUUGUAAACUCCUUUCAACCAUGACGAAGCUGGCCUUGUUGGGUCAGUGACGGUAGUGGUAGAAGAAGCACCGGCUAACUACGUGCCAGCAGCCGCGGUAAUACGUAGGGUGCGAGCGUUGUCCGGAAUUACUGGGCGUAAAGAGCUCGUAGGUGGUUUGUCACGUCGUCUGUGAAAUUCCGGGGCUUAACUCCGGGCGUGCAGGCGAUACGGGCAUAACUUGAGUACUGUAGGGGAGACUGGAAUUCCUGGUGUAGCGGUGAAAUGCGCAGAUAUCAGGAGGAACACCGAUGGCGAAGGCAGGUCUCUGGGCAGUUACUGACGCUGAGGAGCGAAAGCAUGGGUAGCGAACAGGAUUAGAAACCCUAGUAGUCC
rnacentral:rRNA from 1 species